GUUUCAGCAGCCGCGGUAAGACGAACCGUGCGAACGUUGUUCGGAUUCACUGGGCUUAAAGGGCGCGUAGGCGGGUGACCCAGUCCGGGGUGAAAUCUUUCGGCUCAACCGGAAAACAGCCUUGGAUACUGGUCGCCUGGAGGGAGGUAGGGGCACGCGGAACUUCCGGUGGGGCGGUGAAAUGCGUAGAGAUCGGAAGGAACGCCGGUGGCGAAAGCGGCGUGCUGGACCUCUUCUGACGCUGAGGCGCGAAAGCCAGGGGAGCAAACGGGAUUAGAUACCCUCGUAGUCC
rnacentral:rRNA from 1 species